rnacentral:rRNA from 1 species
UACAGAGGGUGCAAGCGUUGUUCGGAAUCAUUGGGCGUAAAGCGCGUGUAGGCGGCUCGAUAAGUCUGCUGUGAAAGUUCAGGGCUCAACCCUGAAAUGCCGGUGGAAACUGUCGGGCUAGAGUCCGGAAGAGGCGAGUGGAAUUCCUGGUGUAGCGGUGAAAUGCGUAGAUAUCUGCAGGAACAUCCGAGGCGAAAGCGGCUCGCUGGAUCACAACUGACGCUGAGAGACGAAAGCUAGGGGAGCAAACAGG